AGAGUUUGAUCAUGGCUCAGGAUGAACGCUAGCGGCAGGCCUAAUACAUGCAAGUCGAACGGAACAGAGUAGCAAUACUUUGUUUAGUGGCGCACGGGUGCGUAACGCGUAUGCAACCUACCUUUUACUGGGGGAUAGCCCGAAGAAAUUCGGAUUAAUACCGCAUACUCCUAUUUGAGGGCAUCUGAGGAUAGGGAAAGAUUUAUUGGUAAGAGAUGGGCAUGCGUGCCAUUAGCUAGUUGGUAGUGUAACGGACUACCAAGGCGACGAUGGCUAGGGGUUCUGAGAGGAUGAUCCCCCACACUGGUACUGAGAUACGGACCAGACUCCUACGGGAGGCAGCAGUAGGGAAUAUUGGGCAAUGGACGCAAGUCUGACCCAGCCAUGCCGCGUGCAGGAUGAAGGCCUUCUGGGUUGUAAACUGCUUUUAUCUAGGAAGAAAAUACCUUUGCGAAGGGAACUGACGGUACUAGAGGAAUAAGCACCGGCUAACUCCGUGCCAGCAGCCGCGGUAAUACGGAGGGUGCAAGCGUUGUCCGGAUUUAUUGGGUUUAAAGGGUGCGUAGGCGGCUUAAUAAGUCCGUGGUGAAAGCCAACAGCUCAACUGUUGAACUGCCAUGGAUACUGUUAGGCUUGAGUACAGACGAGGUAGGCGGAAUGGAUGCUGUAGCGGUGAAAUGCAUAGAUAGCAUCCAGAACACCGAUUGCGAAGGCAGCUUACUAGGCUGUAACUGACGCUGAGGCACGAAAGCGUGGGGAGCGAACAGGAUUAGAUACCCUAGUAGUCC
rnacentral:rRNA from 1 species